rnacentral:lncRNA from 10 species
GUUACGGCAUGUUUGGGUUUAGAGACUGAGGGUGGCUUUCCCCAGGGGUCCCACAGCCUGCUGAUGAAGUACUUGGCACACCCCGCGCUCCCCUGGGUUCUAGCUUGCAUCCUGGUCUCUAACUGAAUGGUAGCCCGCCUACUUAGCUUGAGUGUUUCAAGGACUCCUCCUGGUCAAGAGCUGGGUUUCCCUAUUCAUUUCAUUUAAACAAGCUCCCAAGAAGGCAACAGGGACCCACUGUACCCCAAGAGGCACUCCAAGUUUCCUUCAGAGAGGAAAAAGAGAGACGGGGCUCCUAGAACCCACUCUCCCCAAAGGCGAGUUUCCCAGGCGCCGCUCGUGCUGUUGCUGGAAAGCGAGCUCGCUGUAGACCGGCCGCGACACCAUGUAGCUGCAGCUGUACUCGGGGAGCUGCGGCGGCUCCGACCUGCCGCCUGGCGCUGCCAUGACCUGCGAGCCAGAGGACAGCGAGGAGGGAGGACACGCGACAUGAUCUCAUUCUGUUGCCCAGGGUGAGUGCAGUGGCACCUUCAUGGCUCAUUGCAGUCUCGAUCUCCCAGGCUCAAGCGAUCCUCCCACCUCAGCCUCCCAAAGUGCUGGGAUUGCAGGCGUGAGCCACCUUGCCCAGCCCAUUCUGCAAUCUUCGGAAGGAAGUCACUAUAUGCAGCCUAUGCUUGAGGAGUGGGGAGUUGAAUUCCACAUCCUUGAGGGCAGAAUACCUAAAUAAAUUAUUUGGAAUUCUUCUGCAAGAGAGAUUUGUCUCUUCUCCUCCAUUUAUUCAUUUAUUCAAUUAUUUCUUCAUGUCAUAAAAUCAUGAAUAUUUAUUUUAUAUGUUGCAUUAUAAACCAACAGUACUUUUUAAGAAAUCAAAUUGUUCCAGGCUUGGCCAUUAGGAGCUCUUUCAGUUGGCUUCUGUGCCCUUUGACAUAGCCCCACCAAUGUAGGGUGGUUUUGUCUUUUGGUUUUGGAGCAUUUUCUUACUUUUUGGCACUGUAAGAUGCUCCAGGCUGAUCUCGUGUAUUCCUGUGUAAAAUCAGCCAUUUCUCAAAGGAACACUUGUUCCUUUUAUCGGUGAAUGGUAUAAGCAACCAAUAUCUGGGUGACAGAGUGUUCCCUGCUGCAGGGGAAUUGUUGCUCUAGGCCCUUUCAGCUGACAGAGCAAAGAAAUAUGUGUGUAUAUCAACCAAGGCAUAUAUACACAUCAAUAAUAUUUCUAUAUCUAAUCAUCUAUAUUUCUAUUAAAUUAAACAUAAGUUCAUACUAAUUAAGAGAUAUUUUUAUUUUAUAGUAUUUUGUACUAUUUGAGGUGAUUUUUUAAUAGGUCAAUUUGUUACUUUGUCAAUCAUUUUAAAAGAAAUUAUAUUAUGUUUCAAAUGCCCUAGUGAUAAGAUAAAUUAUAUAUACGUAUGUCUUGAUAGUUGUGGAUUACUAGAUGCAAAACAAAUGGUCUAUUGGUAUUGUUUGUUUGUUUGUUUGUUUUAGAGACAGGGUCACACUCUGUCACCCAGGCUGGAGUGCAGUGGUGUGAUGAUAGCUCAUUGCAGACUCGAUCUCCUGGGCUCAAGCGAUCCUUCCACCUCAGCCUUCCAAAUAGCUGGGAUUACAGGCAUGCACCACCAUACCUGGCUAGUUUUUAAUUUUUUGUAGAGAUGGGGUCUCACUAUGUUGCCUAGGAUAGUCUUGAAUUCCUGGUCUCAAGUGACC